AAGUGAGUCCUGUUCAGCGUGGGAGGAAAUAACACAAGAGGCAAAGAUCACUCGGGACCACCUUGUAUAUUGGCUACCACAGAACCCAACACAAGCAGUUGUGAGUGAGGAAUGGAUGCCAUUGUUAGUGGCUUCCGUUGUGCUCAGUGGAAACACGCAUCUACAGGUAGAAUGUAGAGGAACAGCCCAAUUCAGCUGUCUUGUGGAUUUCAGGCUGUGGUCUCUCUGCCUCUCUCUGGAACACAGGAGGAACUUUGCUACUGCCUUGACCAACAGAAUAUGGGGGAAGCGACAUUGUGUGAAUUACAAGGUACAUCUUCCAUAAAGACCGCGCCCUGAGCUCACCAUUCCUCUUUCUGAGAGAGCUGAGGCAGUUCUUCCUUCAGGGGAGCAACCAUUGUUCUAGGCUCAAAGCAAGUCUGAGAGAGACGCACACGUGUGGGAUUCUAGGACCUUGACCCUCCACCGCAAACAGAGGCACUCACCUCUGCAUUCUGGGAAACGGCAGUCUGUGUGUCAGCCAGAUAAACACUUAAGUUCAGGGGCAUCUGACAAACAGCUGUCCCCACCGACCUUGUUUUGUUGGUCCCAUUUUCACAACUGUUGAUGUGGCUUCCUGAGUUCCUGACCACUUGAAUAAACAACCAAGAGCAGCAGCCUCGACUCCCUGCAGGACCCUGCGCAGGCCGCGCUGGGCAGCUGUCCAUCAGCACCCCUGUGCACACAGAGAGCAGGCAGCAGACCAGCGCCCUGGACGGCUGGUACCGACGCCCUCCAUCUGUCCGUCUGUCCCCAGGGCUGGGUGGACAGGGAAAUCUCUUUACAGUGCAGACAGCGGAGCCUGGUGUUGAGACCAACUGACCUGAUCUUGAAAGGACUGCAUUCUCCUGCCACUGUCUGGCAGAUUCCAGCUUGGGGCCUGUUUUCUGGAGCUAGCUGUCACAUGAACCCCAGCCUGCUGGCUGGGAGAUCCAGCCAGAUGCAGUCUGACCUGAGCCAUGAAGAAGUGCAGAGUCCCCAAGAGGCCAGAGAGCUCACGUCUGGUUAGAGUCGGGGUGUUUGAUGGGAAGAUGAAAGGAGGAGCUGGCAUCUGAGAUCUCAUGCGAUGUGUGGAAACAGGACGAGUUUUAAUCUGCUCAGCAUGCAGGUGUACAUGUGGGCCUCACUGUCCUCCACAGAAUGCCCCCAGGAAGGGGUGGGAGGAUGGAUUACAAAAUCCAACAGGCAACUAUCAGGUAGUACAGCUCCCAGAAGUCUGGUAAUCCCUCGUCGACAUGUCCUAUAAUGGAAGUAAAGAAUGCGAGAAACCAAAAA
ensembl:lncRNA LINC01968 long intergenic non-protein coding RNA 1968